AUAAGAUACAAUUUUGAAUAAAUGUAGUAAUUUCUUGGUGAGGAAUAGUUCUCACAGGAAAGGAUGUGCACCUCUGUUUCUACCUCCCGUUGUGCAGCAACCACAAACACAGCAGGUAGUCUAGUGGUUAGAGUGUUGGACUAGUAACCAGCAGGUAGCCUAGUGGUUAGAGCGUUGGACUAGUAACCAGCAGGUAGCCUAGUGGUUAGAGCGUUGGACUAGUAACCAGCAGGUAGCCUAGUGGUUAGAGCGUUGGACUAGUAACCAGCAGGUAGCCUAGUGGUUAGAGUGUUGGACUAGUAACCAGCAGAUAGUCUAGUAGUUAGAGUGUUGGACUAGUAACCAGCAG
ensembl:lncRNA